rnacentral:misc_RNA from 1 species
UUCUGCUAGACUGUGACUAUCAGUAGCUUGACCCCUCCUUGCCCGCACGUGAAUGUAAUCUUUUGGCGGUUCAGCAGGCUUUGCAGGUUGUUCUGCAGAUUUCACUGAAUUCCCUUCCCCGUCACCUCUAGCUUCGCAAUUCUCAUUUGAUCUUGUAACCUUCAUCCGCUUACUAGCAGAUUCAGUCAAGCCAUUGCCGCUAGUGGAAACUCCUUUAGCUGAUUCAUCAUCCUCGUUUCGCUUCCUAGCUGCACCACCACCGCCGCCACCGCUGUAAUUAUUAGUUCUCCGGUCUAGAACCAUAGGAUCAUUAUUCCGAACAUCAUCACUCACAUUCUGCGGCGCAGCCGCCGUAGACGACGGAAAACUAUACGGCGUCUCACCUUCACCUGCAUUGAUCGGAAACUGCCAGAUCUCAGAUAAAUUAAACGGCGGAGACUGAAAUCCUCCGGCGUGGUUCAUCAUGGAAGCUUGUGGAUCCAUUUCAAUACCCGAUCCAAAUCCGAAGCGAAUGGUGAAUUAUUAGGCAUUCACGUAGGAAAUGUGAAUGAGAGAAGAUAUAUAUAGAAGCUCUGUGUGUACAAAAAUGGAAGUUGAUGGUGCGUACUGUACCUACUGGCGUAUAAUAGCGACCACCACCAUUAGAGAGAGAGAAG